UUCUGGGCAUUCGAUUCUCCACUUCUGAUAAUUCUUCAAUAACUGGAAAAAGAAAAUAAUGUGGAUGUCAGGUUGGAAAAAAGGAUUUAAGUUCUUGAACUUUGGAAUAAAGAGAGUGGUGUUUUCAGCUUGAGAUGCACUCAAGAUCCUUACAGAUGGCAUAGUUAACCUACCUGCACACCCAUUAAGGAGUAAAUAUAUGGUUGGAAUACUUCUGACACUUUCCAUGACACAACUGCCUUGACCCUGCAGUACAUCCAUAUACAAACAAUGAUCUCUUAUGGGGUGUCCUUUGAAGGAUACUGUUUCCCAAUCGGAGCUGUGACCUUACCGCGCUUACUGUACGGGCGAGUGACUGUACGGCGCUUACCACACCUUGGUGUUACCCCACGGACACCGCGCCGAGCCAGCCGCCACGCCGCGCACUGCUGCGGUGCCGCGCCGAAGACACGCAUGACGGGCAAACACCCACACCCCGAAACCCCGCUCGGCCUCGCCCGACCCGGGCAGCGCAGGGCACGGACCCACCCCACAGCCCGUCCCGCAGCCGCAGCCCGAGCCCGGCUG